rnacentral:rRNA from 1 species
CCUACGGGAGGCAGCAGUAGGGAAUCUUUCACAAUGGGCGAAAGCCUGAUGGAGCAACGCCGCGUGCAGGAUGAAGGCCUUCGGGUUGUAAACUUCUUUUAUAAGCGAGAAAUAUGAUGGUAACUUAUUAAUACUGCUCGGCUAACUACGUUCCAGCAGCCGCGGUCAUACGUAGGAUCCGAGCAUUAUCCGGAGUGACUGGGUGUAAAGAGUUGCGUAGGUGGCAUAAUAAGUAGCUAGUGAAAUCUGGUGGCUCAACCAUUCAGACUAUUAGCUAAACUGUUAAGCUCGAGACCGUUAGGGGUAACUGGAAUUUCUAGUGUAGGAGUGAAAUCCGUAGAUAUUAGAAGGAACACCAAUAGCGUAGGCAGGUUGCUGGGACGGGUCUGACACUAAGGCACGAAAGCGUAGGGAGCAAACGGGAUUAGAUAUCCUAGUAGUC